CCUACGGGAGGCUGCAGUGGGGAAUAUUGGGCAAUGGGCGAAAGCCUGACCCAGCGACGCCGCGUGGGUGAUGAAGGCCUUCGGGUUGUAAAGCCCUUUCGUGCGGAAAGAACAGCCCUGUAGUUAAUACCUGCAGGGUUUGACGGUACCGCAGGAAGAAGCACCGGCUAACUCCGUGCCAGCAGCCGCGGUAAUACGGAGGGUGCAAGCGUUGUUCGGAAUUAUUGGGCGUAAAGGGCGCGUAGGUGGUUGUGAUAGUCAGAUGUGAAAUCCUUUGGCUUAACUGAAGAACUGCAUCUGAAACUUCAUAACUCGAGUACAGGAGAGGGAAACGGAAUUCCCGGUGUAGAGGUGAAAUUCGUAGAUAUCGGGAGGAACACCAGUGGCGAAGGCGGUUUCCUGGCCUGAUACUGACACUGAGGCGCGAAAGCGUGGGGAGCAAACAGGAUUAGAUACCCUUGUAGUC
rnacentral:rRNA from 1 species